CGGGGCGUGGCGCAGCCUGGUAGCGCGCAUCGUUCGGGACGAUGAAGUCGGAGGUUCAAAUCCUCUCGCCCCGACCA
rnacentral:tRNA from 1 species